UACGUAGGGUGCGAGCGUUGUCCGGAAUUAUUGGGCGUAAAGGGCUCGUAGGCGGUUUGUCGCGUCUGCUGUGAAAACUGGAGGCUCAACCUCCAGCCUGCAGUGGGUACGGGCAGACUAGAGUGCGGUAGGGGAGAUUGGAAUUCCUGGUGUAGCGGUGGAAUGCGCAGAUAUCAGGAGGAACACCGAUGGCGAAGGCAGAUCUCUGGGCCGUAACUGACGCUGAGGAGCGAAAGCAUGGGGAGCGAACAGG
rnacentral:rRNA from 1 species